ACUACCUCGUUGCUUUGGCGGGACCGCUCGGUCUCGAGCUGCUGGUCUUCGGCCCGGCAAGUGCCCGCCAGAGUCUACUCAAACUCUUGUUUUAACCGGUCGUCUGAGUUAAACUUUUAAUUAAAUUAAAACUUUCAACAACGGAUCUCUUGGUUCUCGCAUCGAUGAAGAACGCAGCGAAAUGCGAUAAGUAAUGUGAAUUGCAGAAUUCAGUGAAUCAUCGAAUCUUUGAACGCACAUUGCGCUCCCUGGUAUUCCGGGGAGCAUGCCUGUUCGAGCGUCAUUACACCACUCAAGCACUGCUUGGUAUUAGGCCAUCGUCCCCCGCAAGGUGGGCGUGCCUCAAACACCUCGGCGGAGCCUCACCGGCUUUGGGCGUAGUAGAAUUUCUCAACGUCUUAUAAGUACCGGUCUGACUCUUUUGCCGCUAAACACCAAACUUUUAAAGGUUGACCUCGGAUCAGGUAGGGAUACCCGCUGAACUUA
rnacentral:rRNA from 1 species